rnacentral:rRNA from 1 species
AUGCCCCUGGACUUCACCAAGCACUUCGUCGCGGUGCCGACGAAGUUCAAGCUCAGGAACAACACCGGCUGCUCCUGGAAGGUGACGGUCAAGCUGAUGAAUGGCUGGGUGACCCUGGAUCAGGGUUGGGCCACCUACGCAGCUGUUCAUCAGAUCAAGAUCGGCUACAUGGUGACGUUCAAGCUCCUCACUCCCGACACCCUCAAGGUCAUCAUCUUCGAUGACGAUGGCGAGGUCGUCAACAAGUGCGGGAAGCACAAUGAAGCCUUCGCUGUCGUGGUUCUAAGUCUGACCGUAGAGGAGGGGGUAGGUAUGGAGAGGCAAGAUCCCAGCUACGGUGAAGUUGUACACACGAGUUUACGAGUUCAGGCCCUUCUUGGAGGAAGUAAAAGCCCUACGUCACGGAGCCCGGAGGCGGUCGAUUGGUUUAUGCGUGUGAAUGUUACAGGGGGUGCGAACCCUUAUGCCAGUGGAGGGGGUGGCUUAUAUAGAGUGUGCCAGGACCCCAGCCAGCCCACGUUACAAGGGGUUCAAUGUACAUAA